rnacentral:pre_miRNA from 1 species
UUAACUCAAAUUUGUAUAGAGUUGGAACGUUUGCCUACGUUUGCCGCUAGGGGCGCUGUUCCAACUGCAUAAGUUGUCUUUUA